AGAAGGCCACGCGAGCCCGGGAGGGACGCGGCGGCGGGGGCUGCAGGAAAGGCGCGAGCAGAGGCGGCGGCGGGUGUACUGUAGGUGGUCGGUCCGGCAGCAGCCCGGCCCCCGGACGCAGGACGUGGCCCCAGGCAGCCCUCGCAGCUCAGUGCUCUAGCCGGGGCAAGCCCGCGUCUCCGCCUGCUGGACGGGCCCAGGCGAGAUGUAGGGCUCUGGGCGCGGAGGCCGCCGGUGGGGCGGCUGAUCGCGGAGGAUCGCGGAGGGCGCGCCGAGGAUGGAGAGAGCGAUGGAGCAACUCAACCGCCUGACGCGCUCGCUGCGCCGCGCGCGCACCGUGGAGUUGCCCGAGGAUAAUGAAACUGCUGUUUAUACAUUAAUGCCAAUGGUUAUGGCUGAUCAACACAGGUCUGUUUCUGAACUACUAUCAAAUUCAAAAUUUGAUGUCAAUUAUGCAUUCGGACGUGUGAAAAGAAGCUUGCUUCACAUUGCAGCAAAUUGUGGAUCGGUGGAAUGCUUGGUUUUGCUGUUAAAGAAAGGAGCAAAUCCUAACUAUCAAGAUAUUUCAGGCUGUACACCCCUUCAUUUGGCAGCAAGAAAUGGGCAGAAGAAAUGUAUGAGUAAAUUAUUAGAAUAUAGCGCUGAUGUCAACAUUUGUAAUAAUGAAGGCCUUACAGCAAUACAUUGGCUGGCUGUGAAUGGGCGGACAGAACUACUCCAUGACCUUGUGCAGCAUGUCAGUGAUGUUGAUGUUGAGGAUGCCAUGGGGCAGACAGCACUGCAUGUUGCCUGCCAGAACGGUCACAAGACGUAGAGACGGGGUUUCACCGUGUUAGCCAGGAUGGUCUCAAUCUCCUGACGUCGUGAUCUGCCCGCCUCGGCCUCCCUAAGUGUUGGGAUUACAGACAGUGCAGUGCUUGCUAGACAGUGGUGCUGAUAUUAACAGGCCAAAUGUAUCAGGAGCAACUCCAUUGUACUUUGCUUGCAGUCAUGGUCAGAGAGAUACAGCACAGAUCCUACUAUUACGAGGAGCCAAAUAUCUGCCAGAUAAAAAUGGAGUAACUCCUCUGGAUUUAUGUGUACAGGGUGGAUAUGGAGAGACUUGUGAAGUAUUAAUUCAAUAUCACCCGAGGCUUUUUCAGACUAUUAUUCAAAUGACACAGAAUGAAGACCUCCGAGAAAACAUGUUACGGCAAGUUCUGGAGCAUUUGUCUCAGCAAAGUGAAAGCCAGUACCUAAAGAUUCUAACAAGCCUUGCUGAAGUUGCUACAACAAAUGGUCAUAAACUGCUUAGCCUCUCUAGCAAUUAUGAUGCUCAAAUGAAGAGCCUUUUAAGGAUUGUGAGAAUGUUUUGUCACGUCUUUCGAAUUGGUCCAUCCUCCCCCAGUAAUGGAAUUGAUAUGGGCUACAAUGGGAAUAAAACUCCAAGAAGCCAGGUGUUCAAGCCUCUGGAAUUGCUUUGGCACUCGUUAGAUGAAUGGCUAGUUUUAAUAGCCACAGAAUUGAUGAAAAACAAAAGAGACUCAACAGAGAUCACUUCUAUUUUACUGAAACAAAAAGGCCAAGAUCAAGAUGCUGCUUCCAUUCCUCCAUUUGAACCUCCAGGACCUGGGAGCUAUGAAAAUCUGUCCACUGGCACAAGGGAAUCUAAACCAGAUGCUCUUGCAGGGAGACAGGAAGCCAGUGCAGAUUGUCAGGAUGUUAUUUCUAUGACAGCUAACCGGCUAAGUGCUGUCAUUCAAGCUUUUUACAUGUGCUGUUCUUGUCAGAUGCCUCCGGGAAUGACUUCACCUCGUUUCAUUGAAUUUGUCUGCAAACAUGAUGAAGUUUUAAAAUGCUUUGUUAAUAGAAAUCCCAAAAUUAUAUUUGACCACUUUCACUUUCUCCUUGAAUGUCCUGAGUUGAUGUCAAGAUUCAUGCAUAUCAUAAAAGCACAGGUGGCCAGUAGUUAAAGGGAGAAACAUUUUGUAUUGCUGUACAAAUGCUAUUAAGAGGAGCCUCUAUAAUCAGUCCUGUUUUGUGAAUUAUUUAUGGAAAUGCAGCCUUUUAAAGAUCGCUGUGAAUGGUUCUAUGAACAUUUGCAUUCAGGACAGCCAGAUUCAGAUAUGGUGCACAGGCCAGUGAAUGAAAAUGAUAUCCUGCUGGUUCACAGAGAUUCUAUUUUUAGGAGUAGCUGUGAAGUUGUGUCAAAAGCAAAUUGUGCAAAGCUAAAGCAAGGGAUUGCUGUACGGUUCCAUGGAGAAGAAGGCAUGGGUCAAGGUGUUGUGCGUGAGUGGUUUGAUAUUCUGUCCAAUGAGAUAGUCAAUCCUGAUUAUGCAUUGUUUACCCAGUCAGCUGAUGGAACAACUUUUCAGCCUAAUAGCAACUCUUAUGUAAAUCCUGAUCACUUGAACUAUUUUCGGUUUGCUGGGCAGAUCUUGGGAUUAGCGUUGAACCACAGGCAGCUGGUCAAUAUUUACUUCACACGAUCCUUCUACAAGCACAUUCUUGGUAUUCCUGUAAAUUACCAAGAUGUGGCAUCCAUUGAUCCAGAAUAUGCGAAAAAUUUGCAAUGGAUUUUAGAUAAUGAUAUAAGUGAUCUGGGUCUAGAACUAACUUUUUCUGUUGAGACUGAUGUGUUUGGAGCAAUGGAAGAGGUGCCUUUGAAACCUGGGGGUGGGAGUAUUCUUGUGACACAAAAUAAUAAAGCGGAGUACGUCCAGCUUGUUACUGAACUUCGAAUGACAAGAGCCAUUCAGCCUCAGAUCAAUGCUUUUUUACAGGGCUUUCAUAUGUUCAUUCCACCCUCCCUCAUACAGCUUUUUGAUGAAUAUGAAUUGGAGCUACUGCUUUCUGGCAUGCCAGAAAUUGAUGUGAGUGAUUGGAUAAAAAAUACAGAAUACACAAGUGGCUAUGAAAGAGAAGAUCCAGUUAUUCAGUGGUUCUGGGAAGUUGUAGAAGACAUUACUCAAGAGGAGAGAGUUCUUCUCUUACAGUUUGUUACGGGCAGUUCCAGGGUCCCACAUGGUGGGUUUGCUAAUAUCAUGGGUGGAAGUGGAUUGCAAAACUUUACAAUCGCUGCUGUGCCAUAUACUCCAAAUCUUUUACCAACUUCAAGCACAUGCAUCAACAUGCUCAAGUUACCUGAAUACCCAAGUAAAGAAAUACUCAAGGACAGACUUCUUGUGGCACUACAUUGUGGCAGCUAUGGUUACACAAUGGCAUAAUGAAGUCUGGAAAACUCCUCUGACUACUGAUGCACAAUUCAGAAUGGCAGAAGUAAUUUGGGAAAAUGUCAACAAAAAAGCAGCCUAAAUGCAACCCAUAGGCAGGGCUGAUGCUUCCAAUUUAUAAAGGAUCAUCAGGUUUUCUGUUUCUCUCUUUUCCCUUUUAUGUUUUCUCUGUUUGUGAUACAAUUAGAAAAUAUAAAAUCACAGUAGAUUUUAUUUUUUAAAAUGCUAACUGAAAGUAAUAGAGACUGUCCUUUUUCAUAAUUAAUUUUAUCCAAGAUUGUAUUAAGGCAAAAUCUGAUUCUACAUUCCACCUCUGCUAUGUAACUGUCUUGUUAAAAGGGUGUUUUCUCCUAAUUUCUGAUAUAUUAUAUGAGGUCAUCCAGCUGGUGUGUUCUUUUGCAUGUAAACUGCCAUUUAUAUUUUAGAAAACUAUUGUAUAGAAUGGAUUUAGAUUGUCUAUAAAGCCACAAAUACGUAUUUUGCCACAGUGUAUUCUAUAUUGCAAUGAUUUUUUUAGCAUUUUAAUAUUUUAAUAUAUAUUGUAAAAUUUAGACUGAUGAUACUAACAGUUGAUGAAAUGACAUAUAAUUUAUAUAUGAAAGCUUACGCUAUAUUGUAUGAAUUAUUUGCAUCUUUCAGUGGCCAGUUUUCCAUAUGUAUAUAUUAUGGUCUCAAUGUUUUUCUUACGCCUCAUUUUAAUUUAUAAUGAAGGUAAAAUUAAAAUGUAUUUUACCACGUUUCUUUUCAUUACUUUUAUCUGUGAGCUCUGACACAUCUGAAAAAGUAAUCUGAUGUGCAAAUUAUAAUUUAAAUAUGUUAAUUUUUUUGCUUCUUAAAUUUGCUUUUCAUCAUUAAAAUGUCAAGUUCAAGUGAUAUGUGCCUAAUAUCACUUGGAUGUUGGUGGGUUUUUGAAUUUUUGGGUGGUUAAUCAGUUUUAUUUUGAAAAGACGUACUUGAAUAGUUACAGCAUAUGUUUGAACAGGAAGUAGGAACAUGCAUACACGAAGAAAUGCUAACGGAAGGAUUUGUUAUGUUUAGGAUCUUCCCUUGGAAACUAAAAAUAGAAUAUUAAUGACAUUACUGUUUGUAGAAUGACAUAUGCAGAUUUUCUCAUAAGCAGUCAUUGUGUUUGCCAGUAAUGUUUGAGAGACAUGUAAGUUGAAAGUUUUGCUAAAUUAUAAAGCUCCUUUAAUUCGUUGGUUUUGAUUCUCUUAUUCUCUUGUCUUUUCUAAAUGUUAACAAAAUAUAUCUUAACAGAUUACAUGAAAUUUAGGAAUUAUUUAAAAGUUACCAUUAGCUCUAAAAUUAAGAUUCGGAUGCUUUAUUUAUAGUAACUGAAGCUAAUAAUGUUUUAUGUUUUGAUUUUUUGAAAUUUAAUUGUAGAAGUCACUGCCUUCUGAGUUUUCAAAUAGAUAACCACCUUUAAUAUUACACUGCUUAUAAUACUAAUGUUUACAGAUAUGUUUCUGUUUAUAACCAUAUAAUACAUUGGCUUUGUCAUAUUAGUUUUUUUUGCAAGUAGUUAUGUAAAAGAGAUAGAUAAUAAAAUAUUAAAUAACUGA